rnacentral:rRNA from 1 species
GAUGAACGCUGGCGGCGUGCCUAAUACACGCAAGUCGAGCGAACAGAUGAGGAGCUUGCUCCUCUGACGUUAGCGGCGGACGGGUGAGUAACACGUGGAUAACCUACCUAUAAGACUGGGAUAACUUCGGGAAACCGGAGCUAAUACCGGAUAAUAUAUUGAACCGCAUGGUUCAAUAGUGAAAGACGGUUUUGCUGUCACUUAUAGAUGGAUCCGCGCCGCAUUAGCUAGUUGGUAAGGUAACGGCUUACCAAGGCAACGAUGCGUAGCCGACCUGAGAGGGUGAUCGGCCACACUGGAACUGAGACACGGUCCAGACUCCUACGGGAGGCAGCAGUAGGGAAUCUUCCGCAAUGGGCGAAAGCCUGACGGAGCAACGCCGCGUGAGUGAUGAAGGUCUUCGGAUCGUAAAACUCUGUUAUUGGGGAAGAACAAAUGUGUAAGUAACUAUGCACGUCUUGACGGUACCUAAUCAGAAAGCCACGGCUAACUACGUG